UACGGAGGAUGCGAGCGUUAUCCGGAUUUAUUGGGUUUAAAGGGUGCGUAGGCGGGAUGCCAAGUCAGCGGUAAAAAUGAGGUGCUCAACGCCGUCGAGCCGUUGAAACUGGCGUUCUUGAGUGGGCGAGAAGUAUGCGGAAUGCGUGGUGUAGCGGUGAAAUGCAUAGAUAUCACGCAGAACUCCGAUUGCGAAGGCAGCAUACCGGCGCCCUACUGACGCUGAGGCACGAAAGCGUGGGUAUCGAACAGG
rnacentral:rRNA from 1 species